rnacentral:rRNA from 1 species
AUACGGAGGGGGCUAGCGUUGUUCGGAAUUACUGGGCGUAAAGGGCGCGUAGGCGGAUUGUCAAGUCAGAGGUGAAAGCCCUGGGCUCAACCCGGGAACUGCCUUUGAAACUAACAGUCUUGAGUCCGAGAGAGGAUGGCGGAAUUCCCAGUGUAGAGGUGAAAUUCGUAGAUAUUGGGAAGAACACCAGUGGCGAAGGCGGCCACCUGGCCCGGUACUGACGCUGAGGCGCGAAAGCGUGGGGAGCAAACAGGAUUAGAAACCCCAGUAGUCC